UACGGGGGGUGCAAGCGUUGUUCGGAAUUACUGGGCGUAAAGGGCUCGUAGGCGGCCAACUAAGUCGGACGUGAAAGCCCUCGGCUUAACCGAGGAACUGCGUCCGAUACUGGAUGGCUUGAGGUUGGGAGAGGGAUGCGGAAUUCCAGGUGUAGCGGUGAAAUGCGUAGAUAUCUGGAGGAAAACCGGGGGCGAAGGCGGCAUCCUGGACCAAUUCUGACGCUGAGUGAGCGAAAGCCAGGGGAGCAAACGGG
rnacentral:rRNA from 1 species